GCGCCAAUAGGGAAGUGGUUAUCCCAUCGGUUUCCGGAGCCGGGAGUCGCGAGUUCGAAUCUCGCUUGGCGUU